GCUGGCAGGGUCACAACCAGCACAGACUGGCGUGCCUCAGGCAUCUCUGGGUGAUUAUCUCUUUGAGCGACUCACACUCAAGCAUGACCAGGAGGCCUCUGUGUCUUCC
rnacentral:pre_miRNA from 14 species